GCAGCUAUAGUUUAACCCAAACACUAGAUUGUGAUUCUAGAAAUAGAAGUUUGAACCUUCUUACCUGCC
rnacentral:tRNA from 1 species